rnacentral:rRNA from 1 species
AUGGAUGACGUGGUGGUAUGGAAUUUUUGCAAAUCGGCCCUCCUUCUUUUAUUACUAUUCGGCAUCCUUAUUUUCUCCCAGUUGUCAUAUCAGCGAACACCUGCCGUGCGCGCUGGGUAUCUCGGCAACGGCGGCCAAGCCAGAAGCUCCAGGCGUGUUGCGGCCGAGACCUCGGUGUCCAGAUCCAUGGCGCCAUCCACCUUUUCCUUCCACCCCUCCACCCUGAUGGGCUCAAGCACCGCCAGAUCCGAGUUUCCCGACUGGGUCCUGCUCUGCGAGGAGCCGCGUUUCUCGGAACUCCGGAACGAGACCACCGUCGAGUGCGAGACCAGCGAGGGCCAAGCCGUGGAGGUCUCCUUCUGGCUCGUCGACCCGCCGGGCGCCUCCUACUUCUCCUUCAACUGCCCCGGCCUCGACGCCUCCGCCUUCGACGACUACGCACCGCCCUCCCUCGUCUGCGUCGGGGCCGCCUUCGUCCUCUUCAGCCUCACAAUCAGGGGCUCCACCCACCACUUCGUCUACAAAGCUGCCCCUGCAGGGAAACAAUCGCUUGAAGCGCUCCCCGAUCCUCCGGUCUACAGAAGACGGCGGUUUGGCCUCCUGCCCCGCGGCGACGGCGGCGAACACUACGCCGUGGCCUACCUCGACCGCCAGUGGAUCUCCCAAGGCGAUUAUUGGCGGUUUGAUGCGCACGUCUGUUCCUCUGAAACGCAGGCAUGGAGCAGCCACAUGUUGUCGUUGCUGCACUUAUCCGAGUCUGACAAGCUGCUCUGUUGUAAGCAUAGCUUGUACUAUAGGCAUGUCGCCGUUGCAGGCUCACUAGGCUGGGUUGAUCUCCUGCGUGGUGUCCUCCUCCUUCACAACCUCUUCGACGGUGGUGAUCCUGUCUUCGAAUUCAUCCCAUUCCCUAAAUCAAGGGUGAACUUUCUCAACGAGGAUGGCCGCCCUCACCGCGCUUUGAGUAUUAUUGCAACGUGGCCUGCUGUGAUGAUCUCCUCAAGUUCAUCGAGAUAG